GCCCCACCUGCAAAAUCAAGAAUAUCACACUGGAAACAAAGCAGACAGUGACACUCCAAGAUUGAUGGCUAAUUCUGUCCACCUGUUCCCAGGUAAGCUUUACUGGGGUACAUAAUAUAUCAACACAUGGAGCAGUUUGAGAUUUUUCUCCAUUCUUCAUGAUGGUUUGCCAUUGAAAGUAUUAUGCUGAGAGUUAUUUCAGAAUACCUCCAGGAAGUCAUUUGCGUGUAUCACAAAAAGAAUAGAGCGAACAGAGGCAGAAUGAAGAUAAAGCCAUCUUCAAUAUGUGUACGUGAAGAAGAACAAGGAGGCCAGAAAGGUGGAACAGAAAAUACAAUAACCAAGUUGAAAAAGAAAGUUGAAAAUUUUCAACACAUAGUGAAAAAUAUAGGCAUGCAUAAUGAUCAAUCUCAAUAAAGCCUACAAAACCCAGAAAUAUCAAAUUCUUGACAAUAAUCCUAUAGUAUUGAAUAAAAAAAUGUAGAUAAAAAUAUCAGCAGAUUCUUUCUUGUUUAUCACAUGGGAUAGAAAGAGUGAAAUGGAAGCAGUCAAGUGCUGACAAAAAAAAGAGAAAACAAAUACAGUGUCACCCUGAAUUCCACACAUGCGAACGACGUCUCCAAGUAAAGAUGAAAUGUCAUCACGGCUUUUGAAUGCACUUGCCUUGAUCAUGACUCCCACUUUUGGAUAAAGACACAUCUGAAUGUUGCUGUGAAGUAAUUCUUGCAUGUGAUGGUGAUUUAAAUCAACACAUUCAGUAAAACAGAGAGCCCUUCACAGUGUGAGGACAUUUUGUCCAAUCCACUGAAGCUAUUAAAACAAAACACUGAGGCUCCUCAAGGAGAAAGAGUAUGCUUCUAAGUAGAAAUUGGAGUCAAAAAUGAAACAUCCACCUGUCCUGUCCCUUGCUAUCCAGUCUCCUGUCUGCUCUGCAAGGUUUUGUAUUUCCCAGGUCCCAUACUUAAAUUCCUUAUAACCUCCAUAAGCUGAUAAACACAAACACAUUUGUGUGUGUUUGUGUGUAUGUGUAAAAUUAUAUAUAUAUAUAUAUAUAUAUAUAUAUAUAUAUAUAUACAAACAUAUUAUUGAUUUUACUUUUCCUGAGAAUAGUGAUCAAUACACAAAAUUAAGAUAUAUUUAGAAUGAAAACGACAAUUCAUUGCACCACAAGAAUUGUAAGGAAAUUAUUUUCAGAUUAUCCAUACCACUACAUUUUCAUACUUAAUAUAAGCUUAAAAUCUGUCUUUUAUAUAUUUUUAUUUUUUCUGGAUGCUUUAAAUUUCAUAAAUAUUAUUCACUGUGUGACUUGUAAACAUUUCUUUAGAGUAUUUUUCAUUUAUUUAACUUUCUGUUUUUCAGCUUUAAUCAUAUUAAGGACCAAAGAACUCAUAUUAGUAUGAUUGCUGCAUUGUAUUCCAUUUGUAAUUAUAUCAAAUGCACUCAUUUCCAAUGAACAGAUAUUAAUGUUGUCACUGUCCAGUGUUAGGACAAUAACUUUUUAAUGUUUUUCUCUUGUGCCUUUCUUAAAUGUUGCAAGGUAUGUUCCAUGAGUAAUACUGCUUGUUUGUAGAUUAUUCUAAUACUGUAGAUAUUCUGAUAAAUAAAUGUACUAUAUAUUGUGAAGUGACUACUACCUUUGCAAUUACCUUACAUCAAUUCACAAUUCUCUACUCCUCACUUAAACUGUCAUGUUCAGACUUCAAAAUGUUUGACAGUCUAUUAGUAUGAAAUUGCAUCGCAUAUGAAUUUUCUUUCUUACCAGUGCCAGUAUUCUUCAUUUUAAACUUUACUAUAAAAUUGCAAAUAAAACAUUUCACACAACUUCAUUAAUGAGACCCAAAUAGUAUAUGUGUACAUAUAUAUAUAUACACAUACAUCUCAAUGAACUUUGAUACAAUUAAAAUAGCCAUUUGGAACAGAAGCUUUGUACCUUCACAUUGGAUUUUAUACUUUAAUUAUCUAUCUAUCUAUCUAUCUAUCUAUCUAUCUAUCUAUCUAUUUUAAUGUAUUUUUCUAUCAUCCCCAUUCCCCCAAAAUAAUGGCAGAAUUAAAAAUACAGUUAGAUUUUACAUUUUCUUUCACAGUUCACUAAUAUUUAGCUUCUUUUGUUUUCUUUUCUGCAUGUUAUUCUGUAACCAUAUUUACAUUUGCUCACAUAUGUAUACGGGGUAAAUUCUAUCCAUCAGAGACAAAUGCAGUUAUUUUAUUGCUGAAACUUUAUGAGCUUGCUUAAUAUUGUAUAUUCUAAGUAAAUCUAUUUUUCUGCAAAUGUUUUAAUUGUAUUUUUAAAAAGCUGAAUAAUAUUACUACACGUGCAUAUAUAAAUAUUCCGUAUUUUCUUGAACGUAUUAAUCUCUUCCUUUGUGACUUGUACCUGUACAUUGUUUUCUAAUACUUUACUGGAUUAGUUUUACUGUUUUAUUAUUUUCUCAUAAUUUGUCAUGUUAAGUCAAAAAGAAUUUCUCUCCUAAACUUGUAAUUUGUUUUUGACAUUGAAACUGGUAUUUAAAAUAAAAAUGUAUUUUGAUGGCAUUACCAUUUUAAUAGCACUUACUGAAUAAAUACAUCAAUCCUUACACAUUUUAAAUGCUUGGGAGAUUUAGUCUACUACCUACUAAUGUAUAGAUGCUGUGAAGCUGUGUUCACCUUUGUUCAGAUUGAUAGUCAAUUUACUUCAUGGUGUUGCUUCAACGGCUCAUAUCCCUUUUUUGUUCUCAUGCACAUGAAUAGUUGGUUUCUGAGAUGUCUUCCAUGCACCCACUCUAUCCAUAUCUUAAGUAAUCAAGCCUUUAAAGUUUUGUGAUUUACAUAGGAAAGCCACUAAUAUUUUUGUUUCAAAAUGGAUUUUUCCAUUUAGUGUCUCUGUUGUCUUUACUACAAUAUAAUCUACUUAUCA